rnacentral:rRNA from 1 species
UGGGGAAUAUUGGACAAUGGGCGCAAGCCUGAUCCAGCAAUGCCGCGUGAGUGAUGAAGGCCUUAGGGUUGUAAAGCUCUUUCGGCGGGGACGAUGAUGACGGUACCCGCAGAAGAAGCCCCGGCUAACUUCGUGCCAGCAGCCGCGGUAAUACGAAGGGGGCGAGCGUUGUUCGGAAUCACUGGGCGUAAAGGGCGCGCAGGCGGCCGUGUCAGUCGAGUGUGAAAGCCCCGGGCUCAACCUGGGAACUGCGCUCGGGACGGCAUGGCUGGAGAUCGGGAGAGGAGCGUGGAAUUCCCAGUGUAGAGGUGAAAUUCGUAGAUAUUGGGAAGAACACCGGUGGCGAAGGCGGCGCUCUGGACCGAUACUGACGCUGAGGCGCGAAAGCGUGGGGAGCAAACAGGAUUAGAUACCCCCGUAGUCC